UCUCCUCUAUCUUGAGCCAAAAUCCAACAAUAUGAUAGGCUAUUGAAUUGACGGGAAGCCAUAUCAUCUUCUAUGCAUAGCCUUUUUCUUUACAUUGGAAGUUAGUAUGUAAAAUACUUUUGUAGACCUGAUUUUUGUGAGGAUUAGGGAGAAUGAUUCUGAUAUCACUCCUUCAAAUGCCAAUUCAGAUAUGAGGCCUUUGCCUAAAUUGGAUGCAAACACCAUAGAAAUCUU
rnacentral:lncRNA from 1 species